rnacentral:rRNA from 1 species
AGACCUUCGGGUCUAGUGGCGCACGGGUGCGUAACGCGUGGGAAUCUGCCCUUGGGUUCGGAAUAACAGAGAGAAAUUUCUGCUAAUACCGGAUGAUGACGUAAGUCCAAAGAUUUAUCGCCCAGGGAUGAGCCCGCGUAGGAUUAGCUAGUUGGUGGGGUAAAGGCUCACCAAGGCGACGAUCCUUAGCUGGUCUGAGAGGAUGAUCAGCCACACUGGGACUGAGACACGGCCCAGACUCCUACGGGAGGCAGCAGUGGGGAAUAUUGGACAAUGGGCGCAAGCCUGAUCCAGCAAUGCCGCGUGAGUGAUGAAGGCCUUAGGGUUGUAAAGCUCUUUUACCCGGGAUGAUAAUGACAGUACCGGGAGAAUAAGCUCCGGCUAACUCCGUGCCAGCAGCCGCGGUAAUACGGAGGGAGCUAGCGUUAUUCGGAAUUACUGGGCGUAAAGCGCACGUAGGCGGCUUUGUAAGUUAGAGGUGAAAGCCUGGAGCUCAACUCCAGAAUUGCCUUUAAGACUGCAUCGCUUGAAUCCAGGAGAGGUGAGUGGAAUUCCGAGUGUAGAGGUGAAAUUCGUAGAUAUUCGGAAGAACACCAGUGGCGAAGGCGGCUCACUGGACUGGUAUUGACGCUGAGGUGCGAAAGCGUGGG